rnacentral:rRNA from 1 species
GACGAACGCUGGCGGCGUGCUUAACACAUGCAAGUCGAACGGAAAGGCCCUGCUUUUGUGGGGUGCUCGAGAGGCGAACGGGUGAGUAACACGUGAGUAACAUGCACUUGACUGUGGGAUAACUUCAGGAAACUGGGGCUAAUACCGGAUAGGAGCUCCUGCUGCAUGGGGUGGGUUGGAAAGUUUCGGCGGUUGGGGAUGGACUCGCGGCUUAUCAGCUUGUUGGUGGGGUAGUGGCUUACCAAGGCUUUGACGGGUAGCCGGCCUGAGAGGGUGACCGGCCACCUUGGGACUGCGGUACGGCCCAGACUCCUACGGGCGGCAGCAGUGGGGAAUAUUGCACAGUGGGCGGACGCGUGAUGCAGCAACGCCGCGUGCGUGAUGACGGCCUUCGGGUUGUAAACCGCUUUCGCAUGUGACGAAGCGUGAGUGACGGUAAUGGGUAAAGAAGCACCGGCUAACUACGUG